GGGGCUGUAGCUCAGUUGGUAGAGCGCAUGGGUCGCAUUCAUGAGGCCACCGGUUCGAAUCCGGUCAGCUCCACCA
rnacentral:tRNA from 1 species